rnacentral:misc_RNA from 1 species
UGGCAAAUGUCCACUCAAACAAAGGUCUAAAAUUGAGGCACGUGCAACAGGUGGUUGUGGGGAUUAGAAAGAAUGCACAAGAAGAACAAGCAGGAUGGUUGUGGGUGUUGAUAGUUUUGGAGAUCAGGUUGCAUUGUGAAUGAUGAACCAUAAAGUUGGACAUUUGGUGGGAGGGUGGAUAACCUUUAGUUGAUUGCAGCUGGAUUGGCCAUGUUUAAACUCACCAAUAAUGAGUUGAGGAGAUUAGUAGUCAAUCAAGAAAUGAUUUUUUGAUGGUGGCAUAAUAGGUUGUUAUUUGAUAUUGAUCAAUGGCUGGAAACUGUGUUGGUGUAUGAAGAUAUGGACCAAGUGAUGAUCGGCGG